GACAGAGGUGCCGAGCGUUAGGCGGAAUCACUGGGCUUAAAGCGUGUGUAGGCGGACUUCUAAGUACCUUGUGAAAUCCCACGGCUCAACCGUGGAACUGCUUGGUAUACUGGUUGUCUUGAGCCACUUAGGGGCAGUCGGAACAGACGGUGGAGCGGUGAAAUGCGUAGAUAUCAGGAGGAACACCGGUGGCGAAGGCGGGUCUCUGGAACGGUACUGACGCUGAGACGCGAAAGCGUGGGGAGCGAACAGG
rnacentral:rRNA from 1 species